GACGAAUGCUGGCGGCGUGCUUAACACAUGCAAGUCGAACGGAAAGGCCCUGCUUUUGUGGGGUGCUCGAGUGGCGAACGGGUGAGUAACACGUGAGUAACCUGCCCUUGACUUUGGGAUAACUUCAGGAAACUGGGGCUAAUACCGGAUAGGAGCUCCUGCUGCAUGGUGGGGGUUGGAAAGUUUCGGCGGUUGGGGAUGAACUCGCGGCUUAUCAGCUUGUUGGUGGGGUAGUGGCUUACCAAGGCUUUGACGGGUAGCCGGCCUGAGAGGGUGACCGGCCACAUUGGGACUGAGAUACGGCCCAGACUCCUACGGGAGGCAGCAGUGGGGAAUAUUGCACAAUGGGCGGAAGCCUGAUGCAGCAACGCCGCGUGCGGGAUGACGGCCUUCGGGUUGUAAACCGCUUUCGCCUGUGACGAAGCGUGAGUGACGGUAAUGGGUAAAGAAGCACCGGCUAACUACGUG
rnacentral:rRNA from 1 species